rnacentral:rRNA from 1 species
UACAGAGGUCUCAAGCGUUGUUCGGAUUCAUUGGGCGUAAAGGGUGCGUAGGCGGCGCGGUAAGUCGGGUGUGAAAGUCUCGGAGCUUAACUCCGAAACUGCAUUCGAUACUGCCGUGCUUGAGGACUGGAGAGGAGACUGGAAUUUACGGUGUAGCUGGUGAAAUGCGUAGAUAAUCGUAAGGAAGACCAGUGGCGAAGGCGGGUCUCGUGGACAGUUCCUGACGCUGAGGCACGAAGG